ensembl:processed_transcript 4930500F04Rik RIKEN cDNA 4930500F04 gene
CGGCCUUCCUAGACACUUAUCAUCUGCCCUGUGCGAUAGGAGGCUGGACCUUGGAGAUGUUGGCUUUUGGAAAAGCAAAGUGAACGAAAAAUCCACUCUGAUGGGAUGUGAUGAGAGGUGGAGAAGCAAAGACUUGGGGCUUUUGAAAGUGAAGUGGAUUUUUGAAUGCUAAAAAAAAAAUCUGUAAUUUCCAGUUUUAAAGAACUGCCUAUAAGGAUAAUUGAACAAAUAAAAAGCUCACUUUUUG